rnacentral:rRNA from 1 species
UACGUAGGGGGCAAGCGUUAUCCGGAAUUAUUGGGCGUAAAGGAUGCGUAGAUGGUGUAGUAAGUUAUCGGUGGCAAAUCGAGGCUCAACCUCGUGGAAGUCGGUAAUACUGCUAUGCUAGAGGAUAGGAGAGGUUAACGGAACUCCCUGUGGAGCGGUGAAAUGCGUAGAUAUAGGGAAGAACACCAAUCAGGCGAAGGCAGUUAACUAUUCUAUUCCUGACAUUGAGGCAUGAAAGCGUGGGGAGCAAAACGG